UAUAACAUUGUGUAAUAACGCAGUUAAAACCCCAGAAUCGCGUAAAGUUUUCAAAGUUCUACUUUAAUAAGACGCAGGCAAUUAAUGCUGAUAUAACGGCCAUAAAUAUAAACAAAUCAAAACUAUUUAAUUCUAAACAACGAUAAACAAAAAGGUUAAAUAACGUUUUGAUUGUUUUACAGCUUAGUAAAAUAGUGCAAUCACUGUUUAUCCGUACAACAUUUUUAUUUCAUCAUUAUAUGAUAUUUUCUAUAUUCGUUUCCUCAAUUGCUUGAAAAAGUAGAAAAUAUUUUUAAAAUUUUUUGCCUGUCAAUGUGCGGUAACAUAUAGCUAGAUAUUGUAUUAACUUAUGUUUUAUAGUAUUUGGGGUUUAAUGUAUUUUCAGAUAAUUUUAAGAUACUGAUUAUGAAAUUUACUGAGGUACACUAAAACCGAUAAACACUGAUAUAAUAUCCCACCUGUUUUUUAAUUUUUUCCUAAGCAUUGGUGGGUUUUACAACUAGAGUAUUUGCACUGUUUAUCCGUAUAAAAUAUUUAUUUUAUCAUUACAUGAUAUUUUCUGUCUUCGUUUACUCAAGUGCUUAUGAAUACACGCCACGUCAUCGUGUUUUUUCACUGAACAACCUUACAAAUACCAAAGUAAGAAAAUAUUUUAUAUUGUUCUUAUAUUCAACACUUUGAAAAUUAUUCAUUCAUUGUAACAAGAAACAUGGUGAAAAAUAAUGAUAUGCCAGCUAUAUUUUUUAUUUUAAAUUAUAUUGGUCGUGUAGCAACGAUGAUCGCUUCCGGUGAGACUUAUGUUGAUAUAAAUUAUUGUACACGUAAGUAUUAAUAAUAUAUUUUACUUUACGACAAAUCUAUACAUUGAAUACCUACCGCUUUAUUCAUAAUUUGAUCACUUUUCUACUGUAUUAUUAUUAUAAAAGUAAUUUUGAUAUGUGUUAUUACCUAAUUGGUAGUUUAAUAAUUUGGAAUUGGUUUAUUAAUUAUUAGCUAUCAUAUUGGGUAAUAAAUACAUAACGUGAACGAUGAAAGAUGAUAUAGAUGCCGAUAUUUAUGGUGAUCGUAUAUUUCGGUUAAAAAUUAAAACCAAAGAACCUACUUAUUUAAAAAAAAUAUUUAAUGAUUCCC